AAUUGCGAUUAAGCAGGUUGACUAUUUAUUUACAAGACAAACAGUGAAACACUCAACCAAACAUCUAAGUCAAACAAGUACUUAUCAAAGCCCUCUAAAUUACAAAACUACACUAAACAAUUAAUAACCCUUCAAGCUAAACUCAGUUACAGAUACUUAUCCAAAUGGAGUGCCUGAAGUGGCAGGACCAAACAGACACUGAACAUACGGAUGUGGCAAAUAAUUAACUAAAGUGUGCACACGGGCCAUUAAUGCAGCACAACACCCACUGACCCCACAGUACCUAUCGUCUGCCUGGCCCGCAGUGAACUGAGAGGAAAAGAGACUGUAAGGUUAUCAAAUGCUAGAAUUAAACCCUACCGGUGCCCUAACAUCAUCAGCUAAACGGAAGUUUAUGGGAGGAGCAGCAAAGCUCCUUACACGGCUAGUCCCCACCUCGAUCAGCAGGUCAAAGAUUCUUCCUCAGACCAGUGCAGGAGACCAAAGAAGCUUGUUAACCGCAAGCUUUGAAGGCUGUGUCUGGAAGUUUCUGCAAACAACAAUGAGUAAUCAGCCAUCUGACAGAUACUGACCAAAAAGCAACAAUUACCCUUUACAACCAAUAUUAUGAAACCUAUAACUCAGUGCUUAAUAAGAAAAUGAAGUGUCGUUCUUCAAAUGUAUAGACACUACCUCAUAUCCUCUGUAUCGCCAGCAUUUUCUGUUGUACUUCAGGCUUCCCGCAUCUGCAGUAUUUUGCUUUUGUACAAUAGUCAAAUGAAAACAUUCAGUUUUGCAAGUGACAUGUUUUAAUAAGGAUACAGUUUUUUUGAAAUCAUUAUGAUCUGGCUAUUUGGUUCUCCAAAUAAUUGUAACAAUUACACUUGCUGGUUUAUCUUUUGUAUUCUCCUCAAAUUGAAAUAAAAAUCCUUUCCCGUG